rfam:Triticum aestivum genome assembly, contig: Triticum_aestivum_CS42_TGACv1_scaffold_404180_5BL
AAAAUACUCCUUCGUUCCAAAAUUCUUGUCUUGGAUUUGUGUAGAUACGGAUGUACCUAAUACUAAAACGUGACUUGAUACAUCCGUAUUUAGACAAAUCUAAGACAAGAAUUUUAGGAUAGAGGGAGUACGUC